AACAUCCUGAAGAACACAAUGCAAUAGUUAUCUUACAUUGCAUAAAUUGAAACAGACCAAAUAAAGCAAAAUGCUAUAAAAGUGUAUAGGUCUAUGUUUAUAUGUUUAUCAGAAUUGAAGAUUACUAUGGAUUUACUGCAAGACAUUAAGGAACAGUAGCAGGAAGGGUUCAGUACGACAGUGGAUUUAGUCCAGAGCACUGUCACAUCAUUAUUUAGUUGCUUAGUGACAUGGAAUAGUUUUGAAGCAGGAAAUACACUCUAUAUCUGUAUAUCAACAGACGCUCUAAAUCUUGAAAAGAAUAAAAUAACUUGAAGUAAUGACAAUGAACUAUUAAACAUCAAAACUGAGACCUCAAUAGAGAAGGUUUUAUACACAGGGUUUAAGGAAGUGAAGGAGAAAUCAGAAUGCUACAGUGCUACUUCCUGAGAAGGAAUAAAUUACACGUUUGAUAUGGAAAUAAAUAUUCCUGGGGCUAGGGAGAAACAUAAUAUUGUAUAAAAAAAUAAACAGAGUAAAAUACUUGUUUUUAACUAUACAUUUCCCUCUAUGAAAGUACAUAGAA